rnacentral:rRNA from 1 species
UACGAAGGGGGCGAGCGUUGUUCGGAUUUACUGGGCGUAAAGGGCGCGUAGGCGGCCACCGCAAGUCGAUUGUGAAAUCUCCGGGCUUAACUCGGAAAGGUCAACUGAUACUGUGCGACUAGAGUGCAGAAGGGGCAACUGGAAUUCUCGGUGUAGCGGUGAAAUGCGUAGAUAUCGAGAGGAACACCUGCGGCGAAGGCGGGUUGCUGGGCUGACACUGACGCUGAUGGCGCGAAAGCCAGGGGAGGCGAACGGG